rnacentral:rRNA from 1 species
GGCUAGGCUUGUUAAAAUUUAAACUUUAUUUUGUUUUAAUUAUAAUUUUUUGUAUUUUGUUUUAAUAAUCAUAGGUUAAAUUUUGAUUAUUAUUAGUAUUUGGUUAUAAUUUUAAGAUUUGUUAAACGAAUUAGAUUAGUACCUAAUUAGUCAAAAAUUAAAAGAGCAGGAGUAAAGUUGUAUUUAAACUGAAAGAAUAUUGGCAGAUUUUCUAAAUUAUCUUUGGAGGUUGAGUAAUAAUUGAGAACCCUCAUUAACUACUUUUAAGUUAGUCUCAUGUAUGAUCGUUUAUUUUAUACUUAAGGUAUAUAAUAAAAAAUUUUUAUUUAUUAAAAUAGAUAUAUAUUUGGUUUAUGUAGAAGUAAAAUUUGACCUACAAUAAGUUGUUCUUGUGGAUUUAUAAAGUUGUUUUUAUAAUGAAAAUGUAAAAGACAGUAAAAAAAUUUUUAUGUUUUUUUGAAGAUUAUUUAGAUGUGGCACA